rnacentral:rRNA from 1 species
UACGUAGGUGGCAAGCGUUGUCCGGAUUUACUGGGCGUAAAGAGCGCGCAGGCGGUCGUUCAAGUCGCGUGUGAAAGCCCCCGGCUCAACUGGGGAGGGUCACGCGAUACUGAUCGACUCGAAGGCAGGAGAGGGUAGUGGAAUUCCCGGUGUAGUGGUGAAAUGCGUAGAUAUCGGGAGGAACACCAGUGGCGAAGGCGACUUCCUGGCCUGUUCUUGACGCUGAGGCGCGAAAGCUGGGGGAGCAAACGGG